GAUGAAGAACGUAGCGAAAUGCGAUAAGAAAUGUGAAUUGCAGAAUUCAGUGAAUCAUCGAAUCUUUGAACGCACAUUGCGCCCCCUGGUAUUCCGGGGGGCAUGCCUGUUCGAGCGUCAUUUCACCACUCAAGCCUCGCUUGGUAUUGGGCAACGCGGUCCGCCGCGUGCCUCAAAUCGUCCGGCUGGGUCUUCUGUCCCCUAAGCGUUGUGGAAACUAUUCGCUAAAGGGUGUUCGGGAGGCUACGCCGUAAAACAACCCCAUUUCUAAGGUUGACCUCGGAUCAGGUAGGGAUACCCGCUGAACUUAAGCAUAUCAAUAACGGAGGA
rnacentral:misc_RNA from 1 species